GGCGGCCAUCCCAUGGCGCCCCUGGUCCCGUGGCGGCCAUCCCCGCUCUCUCCCUGUGGAUAAGAGGACGCCCCUCCUCCCUCCUCCCUCCCUUGAUGAACCCUAGCGCCCCCAUCUCCUCUCCCUCGCUCUCUCUCGAUAAAAUCGCCCGAGUAGCCGCCAUGGCCAUCGUUGUCGUCGCGGCCACUGGCCUCCCCGCGGCCGGAGCUCGUGUCCAGGAGGACCUCCGGCAUCGUCUCCUUCGCCACGUGCACCGGUUCGAGCUAGGACCACUCCAAGCCUCGCCAUCGAGCUCUUCUCUGCCGUGGACGUCACCAUCUCGCCGUCGAUUCGCCUCUCCGACACCACUCCAACCGCCCCGAGCUCUCCACCGCCCUCCUCCCAACCCCGAGACCGAUGCUGCCCCUGUGAUCGACUACGUCGACGAUGACCCCUCCUUGCCAGAGCAACCAGAUGUCGGAGCCCAGGAGCCAGAUGCCACCGCCGAUGCCUGCUACUACGUGGAGACCGCCGGCGACCAGGAGUAGUUAGGAGGCUCCCAGGCAGGAGGCCUUGCCUUUUCGAUCAUCGUUGCUUUUGUGCUAGCCUUCUUAAGGCAAACUUGUCUAACUCAUGUCUAUACUCAGAUAUUGUUGCUUCCGCUGACUCUUGUGUAUUCGAGCCCUCGAGGCCCCUGGCUUGUAAUAUAAAGCUUGUAUUAUUUUAAUUUGUGUCUAGAGUUGUGUUGUGAUAUCUCCCCGUGAAUCCUUGAUCUUGAUCGUACAC
rnacentral:rRNA from 1 species